rnacentral:rRNA from 1 species
CCUACGGGAGGCAGCAGUGAGGAAUAUUGGUCAAUGGCCGGAAGGCUGAACCAGCCAUGCCGCGUGAAGGUCAGUGCCUUAUGGGCGGUAAACUUCUUUUGUGCGGGAGCAAUAAUGGUCACGUGUGGCCAGACGAGAGUACCGUACGAAUACGCAUAGGCUCACUCCUUGCAAGCAGCCGCGGUAUUACGGGGGAUGCAAGCGUUAACCGGAUUUAUUGGGUUUAAAGGGAGAGUAGGUGGGUUGUUAAGUCAGUUGUGAAAGUUUGCGGCUCAACCGUAAAAUUGCAAUUGAUACUGGCAGCCUUGAGUACAGUUGAGGUAGGCGGAAUUCGUGGUGUAGCGGUGAAAUGCGUAGAUAUCACGAAGAACACCGAUUGCGAAGGCAGCCUACUAAACUGCCACUGACAUUGAUGCUCGAAAGUGUGGGUAUCAAACAGGAUUAGAUACCCGAGUAGUC